CAGAGAGAGAGAGAGUGAGAGAGGAAGAUAGAGAGAAUGAGUGAGAGCGUGAAAGAGAGAACGAAAUGUGGCUGAAGGCCACGACGUGUUGUGUGGAAAUGUUGGCAGCAACGGCAGCAUCGGUGUGUGGGGCAGUAGGGCAACCAUGAUGGUGUGGAGGAACACAGGAACAGGAAGAAACGUCAAAAACUUAACGAAACUUAGCUGCAAGUGUGAGUGAACGUGAGACGGAGAGCGAAUUAGAAGCGACAUACACACACACACUCGAAAGCAUCGCGGCUUCCAGCGGCCUGCGCCUAACGGCGACGACAUUGAGCGACGGCACCUUUAACUGAUCGCAGUACAGCGCAGUUCCUGUUUGAGUGUCCGCGUGUCCGUUGCGUAGUUCGGGUGCGGAAUGCGGAAAUAAAAGCCAGUUAAAAUUCGGUAUAAAUACAUUGUAUGUAUAUGUUGUAUGUGUGUUUCGUAUGCAUAUUGCGUCGUGCUUGUGGUCCUGCCACGCAAAAUGCCGCAAGCAACCCUCGUUUAAGCCGUUAGCGACAAAAGCCCACUAACAAAAACAAAAAAAAAAAACACAAAAUCUGAGCUGAGAGAUGUGAAGAAUGUGGCAAUGAGUUGUGCCAGCGUCAGCAUGGAAAUUUAAUUAGCGACAGCCGAGUGAACCAGCUACAAACACACACACACACACACACACACACACUACAUAGAGAGACGCCUACACAUAAUGGAGGACAAAAAGGGCCUGCGAAGUAAAAGUAAACACAAAUAAUACCAAAAAAAAGAGGGAAAAAAUUAAGAAAAAUAAAUCAUGCGAGCAGAAGAAGAAGAGCUACAAAAUGUGUUCAGCUUUCGCAUGACGCCAGCAAACAGCAGCGACUGCGACAGCGACCGAGGCAGAGCCAGCAAAUGGUAAACAGCAACAGCAGCAGCAAUAAAGGAACAAUGAAAAUGCAGCAGCAGAGAGUCAUCGCCUAGCCUCCCUAGCCCACUGUUGCUGCUGCAACUGACGUUGGCGCGCUGUGUGUGCGAGCGAGCGGACAAACAAAAAUGGCGCAUGACAUGCGCACUAGGCAAGCGGCUAACUUGAACUUGAAAAUGUUUUUAUUGUUGCGCUUGUCGUCAUCGAAGGCUGUGUGUGUGUGUUCCAUUUAAUGUGACGCGACUGCGACGCCAGCAGAGUACAGAGAGCAGAGCUAAGCCGGCAAACUAACAGAAAAAGAGUGGAAAGCAACGAAGAGAGACUGGGAUAGAGCGACAACGAGCGAGAGAGCCAGAGAGUAAGAGAGCGACGGCGAGGGCGUAAGCAAGAGUGAGCACGCUGCUAGGCUAAGCUUGCUAGCAGCAGCGCUGCGCUUGGAGCCACGCAAAAUGAAUAAAGCUUUCGGCGGACACGCAACGUAGCAUAAAAUGCAGCAUAAGUGGAUAAGCCAAUGGCGACGACGACGGCGAC